AACCAGCACCUCGAGUGGUCAGGAGGUUUAUUGGGCCUAAAGCAUCCGUAGCCGGUUGCAUAAGUUUUCGGUUAAAUCUAUGCGCUCAACGUAUAGGCCGCCGAAAAUACUGUGCAGCUAGGGAGUGGGAGAGGUACACGGUACUCAAUAGGAAGGGGUAAAAUCCUUUGAUCUAUUGAUGACCACCUGUGGCGAAGGCGGUGUAACAGAACACGUUCGACGGUGAGGGAUGAAAGCUGGGGGAGCAAACCGG
rnacentral:rRNA from 1 species